rnacentral:rRNA from 1 species
UGCCCGUACCGCAAACCGACACAGGUAGUCAAGAUGAGAAUUCUAAGGUGAGCGAGCGAACUCUCGUUAAGGAACUCGGCAAAAUGACCCCGUAACUUCGGGAGAAGGGGUGCUCUUUAGGGUUCACGCCCAGGAGAGCCGCAGUGAAUAGGCCCAAGCGACUGUUUAUCAAAAACACAGGUCUCUGCUAAACCGUAAGGUGAUGUAUAGGGGCUGACGCCUGCCCGGUGCUGGAAGGUUAAGAGGAGUGGUUAGCUUCUGCGAAGCUACGAAUCGAAGCCCCAGUAAACGGCGGCCGUAACUAUAACGGUCCUAAGGUAGCGAAAUUCCUUGUCGGGUAAGUUCCGACCCGCACGAAAGGCGUAACGAUUUGGGCACUGUCUCAACGAGAGACUCGGUGAAAUCAUAGUACCUGUGAAGAUGCAGGUUACCCGCGACAGGACGGAAAGACCCCGUGGAGCUUUACUGUAGUCUGAUAUUGAAAUUCGGUACAGCUUGUACAGGAUAGGUAGGAGCCUUAGAUACGUGAGCGCUAGCUUACGUGGAGGCGUUGGUGGGAUACUACCCUCGCUGUAUUGGAUUUCUAACCCGCACCAUUAAUCAUGGUGGGAGACAGUGUCAGAUGGACAGUUUGACUGGGGCGGUCGCCUCCUAAAGAGUAACGGAGGCGCUCAAAGGUUUCCUCAGAAUGGUUGGAAAUCAUUCAUAGAGUGUAAAGGCACAAGGAAGCUUGACUGCGAGACUUACAAGUCGAGCAGGGUCGAAAGACGGACUUAGUGAUCCGGUGGUUCCGCAUGGAAGGGCCAUCGCUCAACGGAUAAAAGCUACCCCGGGGAUAACAGGCUUAUCUCCCCCAAGAGUUCACAUCGACGGGGAGGUUUGGCACCUCGAUGUCGGCUCAUCGCAUCCUGGGGCUGUAGUCGGUCCCAAGGGUUGGGCUGUUCGCCCAUUAAAGCGGUACGCGAGCUGGGUUCAGAACGUCGUGAGACAGUUCGGUCCCUAUCCGUCGUGGGCGUAGGAAAUUUGAGAGGAGCUGUCCUUAGUACGAGAGGACCGGGAUGGACAUACCUCUGGUGUACCAGUUGUCGUGCCAACGGCAUCGCUGGGUAGCUAUGUAUGGACGGGAUAAGUGCUGAAAGCAUCUAAGCAUGAAGCCCCCCUCAAGAUGAGAUUUCCCAACUUCGGUUAUAAGAUCCCUCAAAGAUGAUGAGGUUAAUAGGUUCGAGGUGGAAGCAUAGCGAUAUGUGGAGCUGACGAAUACUAAUCGAUCGAAGACUUAAUCAA